rnacentral:rRNA from 1 species
GUAGGGAGCAAGCGUUGUCCGGAUUUACUGGGUGUAAAGGGUGCGUAGGCGGCUUUGCAAGUCAGAUGUGAAAUCUAUGGGCUCAACCCAUAAACUGCAUUUGAAACUGUAGAGCUUGAGUGAAGUAGAGGCAGGCGGAAUUCCCCGUGUAGCGGUGAAAUGCGUANAGAUGGGGAGGAACACCAGUGGCGAANGCGGCCUGCUGGGCUUUAACUGACGCUGAGGGGGGNNAGCGUGNNUANCAAA